CCUGGAACGCAAAACUGAGCAUACCGAAGAUGCCCGCAGUGAUCACCAGAGAACAACUUCAUCCUGCCUGAUUGAUGUAAGGUAUUUUUUGCUCCGAGAUAAAAACACGUGCGCCGCUAUUCAACUCCCCACGGAUAUAGGGACAGGAUGACGUUCUUUCACGGUGUAUCUUGUUCACCGCUCAAGAGCUUUAACAACGUUACGAGGAUGAGGCGUGAAGCAGAAUUGACCACUACCGUUGAGGAAUAACAUUUCCAAGCAGCGGCAGAGUACAUAGCAGGGAGGGGUGGUCAUCACGAGGUUUAACUGAGAUGGAAAAAUACUGAACAUCACAAUAGCAGGAACUGAGCAACUGUUAUAACUUGGCUGCGAUACCAGAACAGUAAGAAUCUAUACAUCGACGGAGGGAGGACUCCAUGAAGCGCCAAGAGGCGGGGACCCGCCUGAGCGCCUGCAAUAGGCUGAGCAAGUUUAAACAACGCCCAGCCUCUGUGAUAGGCCAACAGACGGGUUGGAACUAUGUCCAUCACAGUAUAAGAACACUGUUUACAUACAUACAUCCUGUCAGUUCUCUGUUCUGCCCUGCGUGGUAUUACAGUGAGUGAAAGUUGCAUUUGCCAUUUAUUACUUAGCUAAUAAAAACGUAUAACAAUGAGUCACCGAUUGUAUACUAUUUAUCCUGAUACCAGAUUCGAAUUUACACAACUAACACUUUACGCAUGGCCAUUAUGGACAACUGGUGUCAAACAAAUAUUACAGCGACGUGUAGAGUGUUUGCCUUUCAUGCCAGAAACCCAGGCUAGCUUCCCUACCCCACCAUUCACUAU